rnacentral:lncRNA from 1 species
AAUUCACCAACUGCGAAAACCACAUUAACCUUAACCUUGUAUGUUGCUAAACAAUGAGAAAACCAGCACAUAGACAAGAAUUUGUUCUCUCAAAAUUGACCAGAUCAACAUCAUUUUUUCUUCAGCAGUUCUACUGAUUGCGUCUCAUUUAAAUCUACAGCAAGUAAUAUGAACACAAAAUUUUGCCUCACCAAGUAUUAUUUCAAUUCCCUUUUCUUGUUGGCUACAGUUGCAAGAAACUUAUUGCAAAACAGAAAGAAAAAAAGCAAACAUAUUAUUAAAGAAAAAAAGCAAACAUAUUAUUGAAUUGAGUGGGGAACAACAAAUAAGGCCUCCUCAUGUAGGAGUUUGGAUUUCACGAAAUAAAGACACUCUUAAUUGUUGGGAUUCCUAAUUGUGAGAUGACCAUUAAUAAUAUUCUAUAUAAUUUCUUUUUCAGCGAAUUUUGGUGUUUUACGGGAGAUUUUGGAGCUGAUAUAAUUGAAAAAACUGAAUUUGGAUGAAAAUUGGAUAGUCGUUAUCGUCGGCGGCGACUGCACCGGCGAUGGUGGUUGAGAAUAAAUGGUUAAGGCUGAUGGAGGUAUAGAUUCGCCGUCGGUGGUUGAAAAAUUUUGGGGAGAUUAACGUGGAGGACGGGGGUGAACGAUGGAGGACUCGGAGAGGGUGGUGGAUGGGGGACCGGUGGUGGACGGCUGGGUGGGGGACAGAGAGGGUAUUGGAAUGGGUUGGGG